rnacentral:rRNA from 1 species
GACGAACGCUGGCGGCGUGCCUAAUACAUGCAAGUCGAACGAGAGCGACCGGUGCUUGCACUGGUCAAUCUAGUGGCGAACGGGUGAGUAACACGUGGGUAACCUGCCCAUCAGAGGGGGAUAACAUCCGGAAACGGAUGCUAAAACCGCAUAGGUCUUCGAACCGCAUGGUUUGAAGAGGAAAAGAGGCGCAAGCUUCUGCUGAUGGAUGGACCCGCGGUGCAUUAGCUAGUUGGUGAGGUAACGGCUCACCAAGGCCGUGAUGCAUAGCCGACCUGAGAGGGUGAUCGGCCACAGUGGGAUUGAGACACGGCCCAAACUCCUACGGGAGGCAGCAGUAGGGAAUCUUCCGCAAUGGACGCAAGUCUGACGGAGCAACGCCGCGUGAGUGAAGAAGGUUUUCGGAUCGUAAAACUCUGUUGUUAGAGAAGAACAAGUGCUAGAGUAACUGUUAGCGCCUUGACGGUAUCUAACCAGAAAGCCACGGCUAACUACGUG